UCAGUACAGCCAUCCCCCCAGAAGUAAUACCGAGAGGUAGUUCCUGGGAGGAAUGAUGGCGGAGCCCAAUGGAGUUUAGUCGGUAUUAAUGGCUGGUCACCAUUCGAGUCCGACACGCCCCCAGUGCACCCCGUGUGGUAGAUUGGACCCUACCGUUAGCACGUGUACUGGGCUAGGACAUAAAGGUCUUCUCCAUUGUAAAAAAAAAAAAACACGCAAAAUCCCACACAACAGCGCACCUUCUUAAAAGAGACCAUUCAGAAGCCACGCAACACAAAAAAGGCACAAACUAGACCCCUACACACAAAUUAUCGCAAAUAUUCCUCUUUGUAACACCCCUACCCCCCUUUCCCGAUAUCUCCAUGUUCCACCUUCAGUGCAAAGACAUUACGUCACGCUCCUGCUCAAUCCCGACCCUCCGAACGUCACAAAAUGCAACACUCCGUCAUGCCCGCUCCUCCUUAAGUGUCACGAAAUUUAUGGAUGGUCCAAAAACAACACCUGAAAGAAAUCAAAAGCAGUACAAAACCCUUUACACAACCAACCAAUACCUUCACAGACAGACUGCUGAUGAACCACCGUAUGCAAACAGUCCCGCUGUACACUGCACCCAAUAUCGGUCUCGCAUCCCUUAACACGUCCAUAAGCAAAAAAAAUCACAAUAUUGUGCGUUUGAAUAAAUCAUCUCUCGCACAACCAAAUCCGGCCUCUCACCCCGUGCGGACACCAACGCUCCCACCCAACCAUCACACAAACGCACUCACAGAUGUACGGCACAGGAAACUGUAAAUUAGGUUCCUUACUGAAACAGUCAACCUCACCUUCCCUGACGUCUCGAUCGCACUGCCUACAUGGACCUAGAAAAACCCGUGGACGGCCAGAUUCGCUCUAAGCAAAUCGUAAAGGACCCCUCCAAGUCCAUGCAAACAGCACAAGCGAACCGUCAAAAAUGAACACUCAGUUCGUUUGUGACGUCACCGUAAAGUACUCAAUUCGAUGGUACAUAAUACACGAGAACAUCGGCACCCGCACACGGCACCGCAAUGAACUAGAAUGGUUGAGAUAACAAAUAAAACACUAUGGGACAUUGCAAGAUGUCGUCAUAUGAGUAAAAAUGCACGAAAAAAUGACAGUUCAGCGAGUCCAUCUACAUGGUGCUAGAAAAUCUUUGAUUCCACGCAAUACAAAAAUCUUAGUUCGAACACCAAGUCCAUGUAAACAAGCUCUCUGAACCGUCAAAAAAGUGAGGUUAUACAUUUCCGUGCAAUGGUCCACAUGAGGUCGACCAAUGAAUACCACAAAACAGUGGGAAUUAAGUGCGAUUGUGUUGGUGCUCACUGCUGAGGGUUUACCACUGCCACAAAGCGUAGGUCUGUAGAAUGCUCUGAAAAAAGUAUACAUUCGACAAAUAUCUCUACACGUUCACCCCUUCUUUCAGUCAUCAUUUAGCGGGUCCAGAUCAGUCAGCAUGUUAUGUCGAGUCAAUCGCAAACACAAAUAUAGAAGAGCAUGCAACCGAAGUGCGAGAGAAUAUCGCAGCGCUCCCCAAGCCCGUCUGAGAAACGAUGCGGCACACAUCAGAGUUGAUGAACAGAGAUGGGACAUGAAAGGCGAUGUAUAAGCCGGAAACAUCCUGCUGACCGAACAGGAUGUAGACGGGUUAGCCGACAGCGAUAGUGCAGUUAUCAAAUGCCCUGCCAAUAGUUUUGUCGGAACACCUUACUGGAUGGCCCCGGAAGUGAUUCUGGCGAUGUAUGAAGGAUAGUAUGAUGGCAAGGUGGAUGUUUAGUCACUAGGAAUUACUUGUAUCGAGCUGGAGAAACGGAAUCAUUCCUACUUCAACAUGAUGGAAAUGUCGACGCUGUAUCACAUUGCGCAAAAUGAGGCGUCCACGUUGCAGGCUACGGACUGGAAAGAUGUGUUCAGCAGUUUUGUUUUUUGCUUGAAGAAACCUUCGGUAGAGUAACCAAACUCUAGUAAACUGUUAACUCAUUCAUUCAUAACUAGGAUACGAUUGCUAAUGUGCUAAUUGAUUUGAUAGCAAGAACAAUAGCUGCCGUUACAAAAUUGGACAAUCUGAACUGUAGGAAGAUGAACAAAAUUUAAAUGGCCAACUCCAGCGAAACGGAAGCAACGUCGGCGAGAACACACCGGACGAGCGAAUCGGUUGCGACAGUAGUACAAAUAACAGGAUCACCUUAGAACAUUCACUCCAUUCGGUGGAUCAGCAUGGUGGAAUUAUACGGAAUGCUUCGAGGCAUCAGCUGCCAGGAUCCGGGCUGCCGCCAAUGCACAACAGUAGUAUGAAUAACUCUAGUGAUCGGGGCAGUUUGAAACCUGGCGACGGUAUUGGUCGGAUGGAUUCCGGAAUUGGUGGAGGCAGCAGCGAAGGUAUAGACAGCUGGUGGAAGUUGUUCUGGACUCUUGCUCCGGAAACAUCAGUGUUCUUGCCACGGGUUACCAAAAUUUAUAGUCCCGUUGCACCUAAUCACCAUUCACAUCCAAUAAUGUAAAACUAAUAAAGUUAGU